AUUGAACGCUGGCGGCAGGCCUAACACAUGCAAGUCGAGCGAGCGGCGGACGGGUGAGUAAUGUCUGGGAACCUGCCUGAUGGAUGGGGAUAACUACUGGAAACGGUAGCUAAUCCCGCAUAACAUCAGCUGUGCCCAGAUGGGAUUGGCUAGGAGGUGGGGGAAUGGCUCACAUAGGCGACGAUCCCUAGCGGGUCUGAGAGGAUGACCAGCCACACUGGAACUGAGACACGGUCCAGACUCCUACGGGAGGCAGCAGUGGGGAAUAUGGCACAAUGGGCGAAAGCCUGAUGCAGCAAUGCCGCGUGAGUGAAGAAGGCCUUCGGGUUGUAAAGCACUGUCAGCGGGGAGGCGUUACCCGCAGAAGAAGCACCGGCUAACUCCGUGCCAGCAGCCGCGGUAAUUC
rnacentral:rRNA from 1 species